GCAGGCCUCAAAGAAGUGGGAGAACCUGAAGAAACGCUACAAGGACCUGAAGAGUCCCAAAACGGGAUCCGGGACAGAUGAGGGAGAGGUGACUGCUGCCUCAUGGCAGUUUUAUGACGAUAUGCAUGAGGUGUUGGGGUCCAGGCCAUCCAUAGACCCUGUGGUGAUAGUGGCCUCAUUCAGUGAGGAUCCCACAACACUGGACAUCGUUGAGUACACUGCCACCAGCCCCCCUACCUCUCCCUCAUGCUCCUCCACCACAGGCACCUCUUCUACCACCCCAGACACCUCUUUCACCACCGCAGCAUACCCCCCAAGCCCCGAAACCCCGCAGUAUGAAUCCCCUCAUGGAGUUCUUUCUAUAGGAGAGUGCCAGG
ensembl:lncRNA